AACGCGAAGAACCUUACCCAGGCUUGAACAGCGAGUGACCAACUACGAAAGUGGUCUUCCGCAAGGACACUCGUAGAGGUGCUGCAUGGCUGUCGUCAGCUCGUGUCGUGAGAUGUUGGGUUAAGUCCCGCAACGAGCGCAACCCUUGUCUGCUGUUGCCAUCACGUUAUGGUGGGCACUCUGCAGAGACUGCCGGUGAUAAACCGGAGGAAGGUGGGGAUGACGUCAAGUCAGCAUGGCCUUUAUGUCUGGGGCUACACACGUGCUACAAUGGCCGACACAAACCGUCGCAAAACCGCAAGGUGGAGCUAAUCGGAGAAAGUCGGUCUCAGUUCGGAUCGUCGGCUGCAACUCGCCGGCGUGAAGUUGGAAUCGCUAGUAAUCGCGGAUCAGCACGCCGCGGUGAAUACGUUCCCGGGCCUUGUACACACCGUAGUAC
rnacentral:rRNA from 1 species